CCUACGGGGGGCAGCAGUAGGGAAUUUUCCGCAAUGGGCGAAAGCCUGACGGAGCAAUACCGCGUGAGGGAUGACUGCCUAUGGGUUGUAAACCUCUUUUUUCAGGGAGGAACAUAAUGACGUGUACCUGAAGAAUAAGCAUCGGCUAACUCCGUGCCAGCAGCCGCGGUAAGACGGAGGAUGCAAGUGUUAUCCGGAAUCACUGGGCGUAAAGCGUCUGUAGGUCGUUUAAUAAGUCAACUGUUAAAUCUUGAGGCUUAACCUCAAAAUCGCAAUCGAAACUGUUAAACUAGAGUAUAGUAGGGGUAAAGGGAAUUUCCAGUGGAGCGGUGAAAUGCGUAGAGAUUGGAAAGAACACCGAUGGCGAAGGCACUUUACUGGGCUAUUACUGACACUCAGAGACGAAAGCUAGGGUAGCAAAUGGGAUUAGAUACCCCAGUAGUC
rnacentral:rRNA from 1 species